CACCAACUAGAAUCUCCCUCUGGCAAAGUGUCCUGGAGUGCAUAAACCUCUGUGACACCAAACCAAGGGACAUACACUGGUAAAGAUGCUGAAAAACUGAAAGACUAAAGAUUACAUGACAGAUCUUUUUUGAAAGUCAAGGUGGUUUCCAAAUCUUUUCUUUCAGCAAAAUUGAGAAGGACUAAUCAAGUUGUCAGCUAAUAGAUUAAAAAUAAUUGAUGAUGCCUGGUGACUGUGUGAACGUGAACAUAUAUUGCCAAAGAAGAUCAAAGACUUGAGUGACAUUGCCCCUUCAGUUUCCAUCCACUGACAUAGGAAUGUGAUUUCUCAGCACUUAUAUCUACAAAAACCAAAAAUAGGAGCAGGCAUUUGGAGGCUGCCCCCCUAAGCUAGAGUCAUUCAACUUUAUGCUUUGUCACAACUGUUAUUAACAAGUGGUGUGCACAACAGACAACCUCGCCAUCCUUGAACCCUACUCCAUGUCUACAACUCCAAAGUCUCACCAGAGGCUCUGAAAUCAUGUCUGACCAGCACCAGAAGGGCUGAGUUAAGUGGUGCAUUUCUAACCAAGUAACCAAUAAAGUUAAAAUCUCCCAUUGACAUGGGGCAGGUAUCUCAUUCACAACGGCAGAGCCUUCCGAAGUUCCCACCACCAGGUCAAAUCACCUGAAGAUUAUGUUUCAAUGCAGAAUGAUGGCCCCUAAGGAUAUCCACGUCCUAAUCCUCAGAACCUGUUCAUGUGUACAUUUCAGGACAAAAGAAACUUUGCAAAUGUGAUAGAGGUAAGGCAUCUUAAGGGGAGAUUCUUUCAUAUUACACAUGUUUUUUCAGUCUAAUCAAAUGAGCAUGGAAAAUUAGAGAAACAUAAAAGCCUCAGGGAACCAAAGGGAUGGCAGUUUGAGAAAGUCUUGGUCCAGCAUUGCUAAUUUUGAAGAUGGAGAAAGGAUAACACAAAACAAGACACAGAAUGACUUCUAUAAGUUAGACAAGAGAAGGAAAUGGAUUCUCUUAGUUUACAGAACAGAAUUCAUCCGUACCACAAUGCUUACAGCACAAUGAGACUGGUGUUGACCUUUAUUGUGAAAAGACUAUCAGCUUGCAAUGAUAUGUGGCAUCAAACGUGUGAUUUGUUAUGAAAGCAAGAUAAUACAGUUUGAAAUGCCUUUCUUCGCCUUUAUUUUUGAAGCAUGUUUUAACAAAAUUUUAAAUCUAGACUGGGAAUUAUUUUUGUAUACAAUUAAAAAUCUAUCCCAUUAUC